CCUACGGGAUGCAGCAGUAGGGAAUAUUGCACAAUGGGGGAAACCCUGAAGCAGCAAUGCCGCGUGGAGGAUGAAGGUUUUCGGAUUGUAAACUCCUUUUGUUAGAGAAGAUAAUGACAGUAUCUAACGAAUAAGCACUGGCUAACUCCGUGACAGCAGGCGCGGUAAUACGGAGGGUGCAAGCGUUACUCGGAAUCACUGGGCGUAAAGAGCGCGUAGGCGGGUUAGCAAGUCAGAUGUGAAAUCCUAUGGCUUAACCAUAGAACUGCAUUUGAAACUGUGAUUCUAGAGGAUGGGAGAGGGAGGUGGAAUUCCUGGUGUAGGGGUAAAAUGCGUAGAGAUCAAGAGGAAUACUCAUUGCGAAGGCGACCCGCUAGAACAAAACUGACGCUGAUGCGCGAAAGCGUGGGGAGCAAACAGGAUUAGAUACCCGAGUAGUC
rnacentral:rRNA from 1 species